rnacentral:piRNA from 2 species
UGCUGUCAAUGGUAGGAAUGGAUGAUGA